UACAGAGGUCUCAAGCGUUGUUCGGAUUCAUUGGGCGUAAAGGGUGUGUAGGUGGCGCCGUUAGUCGGGUGUGAAAUUUCGGAGCUUAACUCCGAAACUGCAUUCGAUACUGCGGUGCUUGAGGACUGGAGAGGAGACUGGAAUUCAUGGUGUAGCAGUGAAAUGCGUAGAGAUCAUGAGGAAGACCAGUGGCGCAGGCGGGUCUCUGGGCCGAUACUGACGCUGAGGAGCGAAAGCAUGGGUAGCGAACAGG
rnacentral:rRNA from 1 species